rnacentral:lncRNA from 1 species
UUUGUGAAACACAUUAUAUUAAAGACAUUUGACAUAACUCGACAGUUUUAUCUCCAUCUCUUCAUUCAAAGACUCAAUCAUGGACACUCUUACUGACAGUUGUGUCUGCUUCACGUGAUGUAUUGGUGUCUCUACCUUCUUGCCCUUUGUGCUGUUGUCUGUGCCCAAUAAUGUUUGUACCAUGUUUUGUGCUGCUACCAUGUUGUGUUGCUACCAUGUUGUUGUCAUGUUGUGUUGCUACCAUGCUGUGUUGUCAUGUGUUGCUGCCUUGUUAUGUUGUUGUCUAGGUCUCUCUUUAUGUAGUGUUGUGUUGUCUCUCUUGUUGUGAUGUGUGUUUUGUCCUAUAUUUGUAUUUCAUUUAUUUUUAUUUUUAAUCCCAGGCCCCCGUCCCCGCAGGAGGCCUUUUUCCUUUUGGGAGGCCGUCAUUGUAAAUAAGAAUUUGAUCUUAACUGACUUGCCAGGUUAAAUAAAGGUUAAAUAAAAAAUAAAAAAAUGUCAAUACAAUUAAAUUGCUUGUAUUACAUAAUGAUUUUUAUGUUUUAUCUACAGCUAUACCGUACCACUCUCAGCAAUCAAGAACUCUUCCAUAUCACAGAUCACUCUCCACAUGAUUUCCAGUGCCAGCGUGUGGGUCAGACAGUGUGGAGCCACUAGAGGACGUCUGUGUCCUGACCACACAGAGACAGAGCUUCAUGCUGGAGAGAAAAAAGUCACUGAGGUUCAUCUAUACAUUUAAUCCAAUAUAAGACAUAAACUCAGCAACAAAAAAAAAGUCCUCUCACUGUCAACUGUUUAUUUUCAGAAACUUAACGUGUAAAUAUUUGUU